rnacentral:lncRNA from 1 species
GGGAGAGAGAGAGAGAGAAUCCCAAGCAGGCUCCAUGCUCAGUGUGGAGCCUAACAUGGGGCUUGAUCUCAUGAUCCUUUGAUCAUGAUCUGAGCCAAAAUCAAGAGUCGGAUGCUCAACCCACUGAGCCACCCAGGCACCCCUCCCCAGAUAAUUCUUGUGCAAACUAAAAGUUGGAGAAGCAUUGCCAUGAGUCAUGUUGCCAAAUGGCAGUCUAUUGGCUGACUAAAGCUUUGUUCUUUGUCUAUGGGGUUUCAUUCCUGACUAGAUAAUAAUUAGCUUAUUCUUUGGUCCUCACCUACACGUGGGAGAUGGGCAUAAAGUGGAGGUUUAAAGUGAUCAUUUCCUUCAUAAGCACUCUCUCUCAGUGAAUAUUAUGACCAUGAAGAACAUCAGACUGGCAUGAUGAGGUCAUGGAAUCCAGAAUGUUGAGAAUCCACGUCUACUGGUUCCUAGGAAACACUGGCACCCUUGGUUCUGUGCUGCUAAGGUCCCGGUGGGCCUGGAGAAGUGCAAGGAAGCGGGCAGAUCUGGGGGGAGUGAGGUGCUAGUGGGAGGGCUGGAGAGGUCAGGGUGAGUAUGCAGCGCUUAACCAUAGGAAGAAUUAAUAACUGCAAACCAUGAUCAAGCAGGAGCUCUGCAAAUUCGGGCCAUUUCUCAAAAGAUUUUUGAAAAACGUGAAAUCUUGUGAGGAAAACAAGUGGGUGUGUAUUGGAAGUACAAGGCAGCAUGGCAGAAAUAUUGGGCAGAACAAGGAAUAGAGGAAAACAACCAGAAAAACUGACCAGCUUUUCCAAGAACAUGGAGUGUUCUUAGACCUAUCCACAUUCUGCUCUUUUGAAAUGUUAAUCAGCUAAGAAAUUAAAGAUGAGUGGAAAAGAAAAUCUUUUGUAAAAAAAACUUAGAGAUAAUUUUCAAAGAAAGAAAUCAAGGGACAUCUGGGUGGUUCAGUCCAUUAAGCAUCUGAGUCUGGAUUUCAGCGCAGGUCAUGAUGUCAGGGUUCUGGGAUUGAGCCCCGUGUCCGACACUAUGCUUGGCAGCAGGGAAUCUGCUUGCAUUCUCUCUCUUUUCCUCUCCCUCUGCCUCUCCCCCUUGCUUGUGCUCUCUCUCUCAAAUAAAUAAAUCUUUAAAAAAAUAAAGAAAGAAAUC